rnacentral:rRNA from 1 species
UGGGGAAUUUUCCGCAAUGGGCGAAGGCCUGACGGAGCAAUGCCGCGUGGAGGUGGAAGGCCUACGGGUCGUCAACUUCUUUUCUCGGAGAAGAAACAAUGACGGUAUCUGAGGAAUAAGCAUCGGCUAACUCUGUGUCAG